rnacentral:rRNA from 1 species
UACGGGGGGGGCAAGCGUUGUUCGGAAUUACUGGGCGUAAAGGGGACGUAGGCGGCCAACUAAGUCCGACGUGAAAUCCCAAGGCUUAACCUUGGAACUGCGUCGGAUACUGGAUGGCUUGAAUUCGGGAGAGGGAUGCAGAAUUCCAGGUGUAGCGGUGAAAUGCGUAGAUAUCUGGAGGAACACCAAUUGCGAAGGCAGCUCGCUGGGACGUUACUGACGCUGAGACGCGAAAGCGUGGGGAGCAAACAGG